UUCACUCUAGUAUUAUUCACUCGGGUAUUCGGGACACUUUUCGUGUCAGAGUACUAUUCACGAGUUACUAUUCAUGGGUUAUUAUUCACCCAAAUUACUAUUCACUCGGGUAUUUGGGGUACUUUUCAUGUCGGGGUACUAUUCAUGAGGUACUAUUCUUGAAGUACUAUUCACAGGGUACUAUUCACGGGGUACUAUUUACCCAAAAAAUAUAUUUCUUUUCUGUCUAAAUUAUUUUUGGUACAUGAAUAUUAUUCUUGAAUUUUACUCUACAAAGCAGUAUCAUGUUGGCAAUUUGGACGUUAUUGAUUUUUGGAUAAAUUAAAUUAUAAAUCUUUAAAAUUUAUCCUUGAACUUGUUUUAUUGAAUUAUUAUGUCAUUGUCAUCAUCCUAAUGCUUAUAUUGUGAUUAAAGUCAUCUUUGGCUUACGUGCAAAGAUGAACUUUGUAUGAUUAUGACCAGGGAUUAUUCGGUAUAAUCAUGACCAUAAUGUAAUGAAUGAUGUGGUAAAAGUCCUCAUUGGCAUGUAAUUCAUUGAUGGACAGUUGUUGGCAUGAUUAUUGUGACACCCCCAAACCUAGGUACUUCAUUUCCACAGGAUUUGGUGUUCACUUAAUCAAACAUUCAUAUCUAACUACCCAAUCACAAUAAAACUGGAUAAAUAAAACCUUCCCCCUUAAAGGGUUACAAAAAAAAAAUCUCCCAGGUUGUCUAACCUUUAAACACAAUCAUUCAAAUGCGGAAAAUAAAUAAUCUUUCUUACAACCAUUCCAUUAAAAACUGAUAAUAAAAUAUCAUCAAAUUACAAGUCUUCAAUACUUGUUCAUCUUUCCUUUUCCCUUACUGGUGCUAGGUACAUCAACCUUCUCAUCCUUAACUGUAAUAAUUAUAUAAGCAAGAGUGAGCAAACAAAGCUCACUUGAUACAAUAAUGAAUGAAAAACCUUUACAACAAAUGUUAAAUAAGAGGCUCAAUAGAUUUAAACAAUUACGAUUUGUCAACAAUCUNNNNNNNNNNNNNNNNNNNNNNNNNNNNNNNNNNNNNNNNNNNNNNNNNNNNNNNNNNNNNNNNNNNNNNNNNNNNNNNNNNNNNNNNNNNNNNNNNNNNNNNNNNNNNNNNNNNNNNNNNNNNNNNNNNNNNNNNNNNNNNNNNNNNNNNNNNNNNNNNNNNNNNNNNNNNNNNNNNNNNNNNNNNNNNNNNNNNNNNNNNNNNNNNNNNNNNNNNNNNNNNNNNNNNNNNNNNNNNNNNNNNNNNNNNNNNNNNNNNNNNNNNNNNNNNNNNNNNNNNNNNNNNNNNNNNNNNNNNNNNNNNNNNNNNNNNNNNNNNNNNNNNNNNNNNNNNNNNNNNNNNNNNNNNNNNNNNNNNNNNNNNNNNNNNNNNNNNNNNNNNNNNNNNNNNNNNNNNNNNNNNNNNNNNNNNNNNNNNNNNNNNNNNNNNNNNNNNNNNNNNNNNNNNNNNNNNNNNNNNNNNNNNNNNNNNNAUUUUACAGUCCUACUAUCAUCACAUAACAAUUUCUUAACAUUUGAGUACAAAAAAAAUACACUGUCAGACCAUUCUGCUAACUCGCGCUGCGGCGCCACAGUUUAUAUUGUGGUGCGGCGCUGCGGCGCGGAGAUGGCGUUGCGGCGCGAGAAUAACGCUACAAGGCUGCGCUGCGGCGCGAAAGAUGAACUGCUGGGCCGCGCCGCGGCGCCAAACUGCAGUUUCGACUGACAGCUUCGGCAACAGUAUAAGAAAAAGCCAAUUUUGGCCUAAAAGUUCCUUUCUAACAGCCUAAUUCACAUGCAAUUCAUACAAAGACUUCAUGUAAACAUAAUUCAAAGAUUGUAAACAUGUUUCUACUAAUAAAACAAUAUAAACAAUAAAUUUAACACAUAUAAUUUCACUAUUUUUGAUAAAAACUCACUUUUUGAUGUUUUUGAUGAAAAUAAACACUGUGAUUUUGUUUUUCAACCAAAACAGUUAAUUCAAAGCAUUUUAUCAAUGUUUAUACAUACUCUAUCAAACUCAACAGUCAAUUUAUCAAUUAAACAACUAAUUACCCUUAAUUUUUACUUUAAACUAAACAAUAUAUAUAUACACAAAAACUCUCUGUAAAAAUAGCUUUUCUUCAUAACCAUAUACAUAAUACAAAUUCAUGGACUAUCCUCCAUUAUAGCUUAAGAAAAUAGUUUAACAACACUAGAUUAUCAUAUAAAAUCACAUACAUAACAAAUAAUUUAUCCUUACACAAGGAUUUUACAGAGAAUUAGGGAAGCGAAAAAACUAAACCUUUAAAACUAAAAAGAAUAGGAUAAUACCUUGAAGAAGAUGAUGAUGGCUAUUCCCUUUUUUUUUAUUCUCAAGCUUUUCUUCUAACCAAUUCCCUAGCCUUUCUUCCUCUCUUCUUUUCUCUCUCACUUUUCUUCUUCUCUUCUUCUUCUUCUUCUUCUUCCUCUGAGUUUUCUCUUUUCUUCCUAACUCUAACUACGUACUAACAAUAUAACGUAUAUAGGAUAUAAUUUAUAUUAAUUAUAUAAUAUAAAUAUAGAUAUAACUGAUAUCAGUUAUCUAAGUUUUGAAAACAAAAAGCCAUAAGGCUUGUUUGGCUAGUCACUAAAAAAAUAACCAAUUAAUCCUUAUGCCUUGUUUGGUAAAACACGAUUAGAAAUAAAGACUUAAUAGGCAUUAGGCAUUGUUUGGAAAAACUGAAUUAAAACUCCUUUAAGUUAUUUUAAUAACUACUUUAUAAAAGGUUAUUUGUCACACUUUUAAUAAAUUAAAUUAAUCUUAAUAACAAUAUAUUAAAUUACUUUAACACAUAAAUCAAUACCACAAAAUUAUAAUUUUCUAUAUAAUUAUAACUUUAUUUAACAACCUAACACAUCCUUUUAAUUACAAAAUUCAAAUAAAAAUAAUAAUAAUUCAAUUAAUCAAAACUCUCUAACUUAAUAAUUAAAUUAAAUUAGCAAAUAUAAUAAUUUCCUUAAUUAUUUAUUUAACAAAUAGUUAGCCAAAUUGAAUCAAUUUUGAACAAUUACAAAUUCAACCAUAAACACAUCCAUUAAAUACUUAAAUAAUUCAAUAAAUAUUUAAUAUAACAAUUAAAAUUCUGGAAUGUUACAUCAUUCCCUCCUUACAAGGAUUCUGUCCCCAGAAUCACAAUUCAAACAAUUCAUUCGUCACAUUCUCCCUACUUACAAAGAUUCUGUCCCCAGAAUCGAAGACAUAAAUUAAACAAAUAACUCAGGGUAAUUCUUCAUCAUUUCAGCUUCGAGUUCCCACGUAGCCUCUUCGACAUUGUGGUUCCUCCAUAUUACCUUCACAGAAGGUAUCACUUUAUUUCUGAGCAAUUGUUCUUUCCUGUCAACUAUCUGGAUAGGAACCUCUUCAUAGGACAAGUCUUUCUCAAACUGCAAUGGUUCAUACUCGAUCACGUGCUUGUAAUCAGACUUAUAUGGUCGUAACACUGAAACGGAAAAAACAUUAUGAAUGUUUUGCAAUUCUGGAGGUAGAGCUACCUCGUAAGCCACCUCUCCAACUUUUCGCAGCACUUCGAAGGGUCCAAUAAAUCUCGGGCUUAAUUUUCCUACGUCGAAUGCACGAUCUUGUCUGUGUUGAUCAGCAUAUUUCUUUUGUCUGUCUUGAGCAGAUAUCAAUCUUGUUCUGAUGAGUUUGACAACCUCAGCAGUUUUGUAAGACCCCGAAUUUUAUGAAAUAAAUUAUUCAAUUUUUCUUAUAAUUAUUAUUUAGUAAAUGAUUAAAUUGAAAAAAAAAAGUUUAAGUUAAGGGUGAUAUAUGUAAAAUUUUCAAAAUACGCAAGUGGUUAUGAAAUACUCAUUUCUGUCGGGGAAUAUUCGUUUGGUCGUGGAAUAUUCUUGCUGUCGGGGAAUAUUCGUACGAUGGUGCAGUCAUUUGUGGGCCCCAUAACAGAAUAAUUGUCGGAUGAAGAAAAUGACAAGUUUGAGUUUUUAUAAAUAACAGUGUAGUAGUUACCGUUAACACUGUUGGAAUACCUGGUGGUUAAAAUACAGUAAUACGUGUGGUUGCACAGUAGAACACGGUAUUGUACAGUAUUUUUGAAUUAUUGAUUCUUACGUAAGAAGGCACUACUCAAUAAUUGUUACAGUAAUUACUGUUCAAUAUUUUAUUUUAUUGAUUCGAUAAUUGCUAUGUUGAUAUUUUAUAUUAUUAUUGUUUCAAUAAUUGUCAUUGCAUAGUAUUUCCCAUUAUCAAAUCAAUAAUUCAUAUUAUUUGAAUAAUAUUAUUAGAUAGCAUUAUUGGCAAUGUCUAGAAAGUUCUGUCAAGGAGAGGUUUGGUCACCUAAUUGCGCGCCAGUAAGGAGAAAUCCUUAUUGGAAAGCCCCCUCUUUCCUGGGAACCACCUGGUUGUCAUAAUUGUGAUUCUGUAAUAUUAUUUGUGAAUAAUUAAUUAUUGAUUUAUAUGAUAAGGAAAUAUUUAUUUGAUGCGGAUAUAAAUGAUGGAUUUAUUUAUGUGGUUAUAAAUGAAGGAAUUAAUGUUGAGGUGUUUUAUCAGUAUUUUGUCGGAUUGGAGGUAUUAGAAGAUCAAAUCGGUGUUCUUAAAGCUCUAUUGCGUGAGUUAUAAUUUUUAAUCUGGUCGUUGGAUCGUUGUGAUUUUUGGAUAUGUUAUACAUAUAUAAGUUGAGUAUAUGUCCACAAAUUUUGAACCAUUAAAAAUGAACGUAUGAAUUGUUAUGAAUUUUAAGAGUGACUGAUUCGGAAAUUAGGCUUAUAAAUGAUUUUUGCUGGAAAAUUAUAGAAUGAGUGGGCCCCACCCGUGGCUGGUGAAGAAAUGUGCUGAAUUUUAUUUCAAAUAUGGUGGGUGGCAAUAGUAGCAGGUAAAGCCAUCAGGUAGCAGGUCAAGUCUGCUACGGCGUGCUAACAUUUUCCUAUAAAUAGAGGACUAAGUUAGAAUUGAAAAUCACACCAGAAACAUAAGCUUUCUCUCUUUCUCUCUCUAUAUUAUCGAGCGUAUUCUUGUGAGUAUUUUGAUACUUUGAGUGUUGCUAGACGGUGCAAGCUCCUUCAGCACUAUAUCCGGUAUUCUAGUCAGAAGUACUGCUCUUUUGAGGUAAGGGAUAUUGUCGUUAUUAUGUAAGAGAUUUUAAGGGUUAUUAUGUUUCUUCAGUUUCGUAAUUUUUCUGACCUUCAAAAAUUCUGGAAAAUUUUAAAAUGAUAUUUUGAUGAGUUUUCUCGAUUGUGUCCAAAAAUGGCGAUUUUUGGAUGUAUAGAUUAGGAGUUAUGGAUUUUAUGAGAAAAGACUAUUUUAAAAGUAAACGCUUAUAACUCCUUGUGGUUAACUCCAAAAUUAGUGAAAUUUUUAUUGGGAGUACAUCUAUAUAACAUCAGUAUAUUCUGUAAAUUUCAGAAUUUUUGGACAAAAGUAAAAUUUAUGAUAAAUGUCUAAAUAUUUGGCAGUUUUGGCCAUGUGAAAAAUAGUAAAUGAAUUUUUUAAAUUCCAAGAAAAAUAUAUGUUCAAUAUGGGACUAUAUUUUGCUAAAUCCCAGAAAAGAAAUAUUUUUAGAACUGAUUUAGUAUUUUUCAUGAAAAUUAACUAGUUAUGAGUAAAUGAAUUAAAUAUGUUAUGUGAAGUAACAAAAUUGAAAAAUAGGAUUUUAUGGCUUGGGAAUACUAUAUAUGGUAUAUGCAAAUUUUUGAUGAUGUUGGUUAUUGGUGAUGAAAUCUUAUGAGUUUAGCAUUUUAGGAUGAUUAAAUGCAUUAAUUAGUAAAGUGUAAAUAAUUAAAAUAAAUUGUUUAUAUGUUCAAGAAAUGUUAUUCUUUCAAUAUCAUUAUACCGAAAUAUUGGUAUGAAUUUUAUUGUCGAAUUUCUAUUUUUUUCAUGUCGGGGUUACUAUUCAUGAGUUACUAUUCACGAGUAACUAUUCACGGAGUACUAUUCACGACAAAAUUGGUUUCUUUUUCUGACCAUGUUAUUGUUGAUUUAUGAAUCUUACUCUUUAAAUUAAAUACAUGUUUUGAUCAUAUUGUUUUUAUUAUCAUAUAUAACAUUUUUUAUAAUCCUGGUGAAGAAAUUUCUCUUUGACUUGAGUGUAAAGAUGGGUAGGUUAUUGGUAUGAUCGUGACUAUGGGUUCUCUUUGGCCAGUAGUGCAAAGAUGAAUUGUUGACUGGUAUGAUCAUGACCAUUGAAUUUAUAAUUGAAUAUCUUUAGCUUAAGUGCAAAGGUGAAUUGAUCAACAUGGUUAUGAUUAUUGUUUAUAUAAAUUCUGAAAUAAUUAUAUAUUUCUUUGAGAUAUUAAUAUCUUUGGCCCGUAGUGCAAAGAUGACAUGUUGUUGAAUAUCUUUGGCCUGUAGUGCAAAGAUGAAGUGUUGAUAUAUAUCUUUGGCCCGUCGUGCAAAGAUGACCUGUUGUUGAAUAUCUUUGGCCCGUAGUGCAAAGAUGACAUGUUGUUGAAUAUCUUUGGCAUGUAGUGCAAAGAUGAACUGUUAAUGAAUAUCUUUGGCCCGUAGUGCAAAGAUGAANNNNNNNNNNNNNNNNNNNNNNNNNNNNNNNNNNNNNNNNNNNNNNNNNNNNNNNNNNNNNNNNNNNNNNNNNNNNNNNNNNNNNNNNNNNNNNNNNNNNUAUUGUAUACGUCAUUUGAUAUUUAAUUUUGGUGAACCGAAUAGGGUGAGGUGAACCCAACUUUGGAAGGGUGUUUUGCCACUAUCAUACAAGAUGUCUAAUGACAUAUAUCCUCGUGUUAUCAUAAGAUAAGGUUGUGCACAUCCACUUGCUGAGUAUAUCUACGAGCACUACCUAUAUGAUCUUGGAGUUUGGUUGAAACAUAAUGUUCAAUCGCAGACGGUGGAGAUAGUUAUAUGUCAAGAGAAGACUCACCAUUGGAAGGAACAUGAUAGUAAUCUUCUCAUUUUUCUUUGGGGUCUAUUGGAUCAACCAAAGAUAAUUCUCGAGUCAUAUGAUAUCUAUCAUAACUUAGAUCCAUGGCCUCCUAUGUACGAAGGUUUCCUUGAGCACUUCCCAAAGAUUUUAAUUUCUAAAACAGUUUUAGAUUGUACCUUUAUGUAAGGUAUCACUGUGAGGUGUUGUCCAUAGUUGGGACAUGAGUCACAGUUGGUAUUAAAACUCACAGUAUAUGUGUUGUUGUAUUUUACACGAUAAUUGUAGUAAUAAAGUUGUAGUUAUUUUAUGUACCAUGUUUUUGGCGACUCAGAAUAGGUUGGAUGGAUUGGACCUAUUUUGGGGGCGUCACAAGUUUAUUAUACCAGUUCUGAUCCUAACAGUUGACGUUCACCGACUUCAUCCCAGCACAGUGGAGUUCUGCACCUCCUGCCAUACAAUGCUUCGUAAAGCGGCAUGCCGAUGCUAGCGUGGUAACUGUUAUUGUAGGCAAAUUCCACCAAUGGUAAUUGUUCAUCCCAGCUUCCUUUGAAAUCCAUGACGCAUGCUCUCAGCAUAUCUUCUAAUGUCUGAAUCGUUCGUUCCCUUUAGCCAUCUGUUUGCAGAUGAUAUGUCGUACUCAUUUGCAAUUGUGUUCCCAUACAUUCUUGUAGUCUCUUCCAAAAGUUUGAUGUGAACCUCAGAUCUCUAUCUGACACAAUCGACACUGGAACUCCAUGUCUCGUCACGAUUUCUUUAACAUAUAGUUUUGCUAGCUGAUCAAGAUUGAAUUUAAUCUUUAUUGGAAAAAAGUGUGCAGAUUUUGUCAAUCUGUCUACUAUCACCCAAAUCGCAUCGUAUCCUUUCUGAGUCGAUGGGAGACCUACCACAAAAUCCAUUGUGAUAUGUUUCCAUUUCCAUUCUGGUAUCUCUAACGAUUGAAGUAACCCGCUUGGUCUUUGAUGCUCGGCUUUGACUCUCUGACAUGUCAAGCACUUUGCAACGCAUUCUACAACGUUUCUUUUCAUAUUUGGCCACCAAAAAUGUCGCCUCAAAUCUUGAUACAUUUUCAUACUUCUUGGAUGAAUCGAAUAUCUCGAGCUAUGAGCUUCUGUCAAGAUGUCCUCUUUAAUAACUGGUACUGCUGGAACCCAGAUUUAUUCCUCGAAUCUCAGCAUUCCAUCAGUAUCAACCUUGUAUUUCAUUUCCUUUCCCUCGACCACACUUUCUCUUAUUUUUUUGCAUUCCUCAUCCUGCAGUUGAGCGUUCUUCACUUUGUCCACCAAAGUUUGACUAGUUUCCAUAUGGUAUAAUUUUUCAUCGGAUUCUUUUGGAAAUUUGAUUUCCAACUCUAACCUUGACAUUGCUGUAAUAAGCUUCUCCUUAUCAGUUAACAACAUCAACUUUUCCCUGCCUUUCCUACUCAAGGCAUCUGCAACCACUUUUGCUUUACCUGGAUGAUAAAAGAUCUCACAAUCGUAAUCCUUUAUCAAUUCCAUCCAUCUCCUUUGACGCAUGUUCAAGUCUUUCUGAGUGAAAAUGUACUUCAGACUCUUAUUGUCUGUGUAAAUCUCAUAUUUCUCUCCAUAGAGAUAGUGUCUCCAUAUUUUUAAAGCAAACACAACCGCCGCCAACUCUAAAUCAUGAGUUCGAUACCCUUUUUCGUAGUCCUUCAAUUGCCUUGAUGCAUACGCGAUGACUUUCCCGUUCUGCAUAAGGACACAUCCGAAUCCUUUGUGUGAAGCAUCACUGUACACCACAAAAUUUCCUAUAUUAUCUGUUAAUGACAACACAGAUGCCAUACUUAGCUUCUUUUUCAAUUCCUGGAAACUUCCUUCACACUUCUCCGUCCAAACAAAUUUUACAGAUUUCCUCAUCAAAUUUGUCAACGAAGUGGCAAUCUUGGAGAAAUCCUGAAUAAACCAUCUGUAAUACCCUGCCAAUCCCAAGAAACUUCUUACUUCUGAUGGAGUUCUUAGUUGUUCCCAAUUUAUCACAGCUUCGACCUUUGAUGGAUCCACUGAAAUUCCAUCCUUGUCAAUUACGUGCCCAAGAAAUUGUACACGUUCUAACCAGAAUUCACAUUUAGAGAAUUUCGUGUACAACUUUUCCUUUCUUAGCGUCUCCAAGGUUAGACAUAAGUGUUCCACGUGUUCUUCUUGAGUUCUAGAGUACAUAAGAAUAUCGUCGAUAAACACCACCACAAACUUGUCUAAAAAUGGUUUAAACUUCCUGUUCUUCAAAUCCAUGAACGUUGCAGGGGCGUUUGUCAAACCAAAAGACAUCACCAAAAACUCGUAAUGUCCAUACCGAGUUCGGAAUGCCGUCUUCGGUACAUCCUCCUUUCUUACCUUCAAUUGGUGAUACCCACUUCUCAAAUCUAUUUUAGAGAAAUAUCUGGCACUCUUUAAUUGAUCAAACAAGUCAUCUAUUCUCGGCAAUGGGUAUUUAUUCUUAAUAGUGACUUUGUUCAACUCCCUAUAAUCAAUGCAAAGACGCAUUGACCCGUCCUUCUUCUUUACGAAUAACAUUGGUGCCCCCCACGGUGACACACUCGGCUGAAUAUAUUUCUUGUCCAACAGCUCCUGCAGUUGUACCAUCAAUUCCUUCAUCUCUACCGGAGCCAUUCUGUACGGGGCUUUUGAUUCGGAGAGGUUCCUGGCGUUAAGUCGAUCACGAACUCAAUUUCUCUGUCAAGCGGAAGUCUUGGCAAAUCCUCCAAAAACACGUCCACAAAUUCCCUAACCACCGGUAUUUCUUCCCGUUUCGCACCUUUCUUCUGAGUAUCGACUAUGUAAGCUAAAUAACCCACAAAGCCUUGAGUCAACAACUUCUUGGCCUGCAUAAUCGUCAGACAUCUCAUUUGUCUAGGUAAUUUGCUUCCAUUGAAAACUACCUUUGACGGAGUCAUAAGGUUUACACAUUUCUUUUGGCAGUCAAUUACCGCUCCACAAUUGAACAACCAAUCCAUUCCCAAAAUAACAUCAAACUUUCCAAGCCUAAUCGGAAUUAAAUCUACCAUCAAAAUAUUUCCCUUAAUAUUCACCCUACAGUUCUUGUAUACGAACCUAACAGGAAUUACUUCCUUAUUCGCAAUAUCUAUGUUUCAAGGGAAAUUUAAUUCUUCACUAGGAAAUCCUAAUCUCAUAGCAAAUUCAUCAGAUAUAAAUGAGCAAGUAGCACCCGAAUCAAAUAAUACAUAAGCAUCAAUAUCAUUGAUUGGGAUAAUACCUGACACCACAUCCUUUGAUUGCAUAGCAUCUUGCACAGUCAUGUUAAAGGUUCUGGCUGUGGGUUUGUUGGUUGAUGCUGGCCCAGCAAUAGUCAGCGCACCUCCACUAGCAUUUCCCUUAUUUCCAUUUGCCUCACCAGAUCUCUUCUUAGGGCAUUCACGAGCAAAGUGAUCCUUGGACCCGCAAGUGUAGUAUAACUUCUUGGGUUGAUUGCAAUUUGGGGCGAUGUGACCCUCCUGGCCACAGUUAAAGCAUACACGUUUUCCCAUUAAGCAUACACCCUUGUGAAACUUCCCACAUGUAGCACAUGCUUCAAACUUCUUAUUCUGCUGGUUACCUUGUUGAUUCCCAGCACCCACAUUUCCAUUUCACUUUCUUUUCAAGUUAUUGUUACCAUUUCCACUACCACCUCCUCCAUUCUUAACCUCCACUUCAUUCUUCUUCUUUUUCUGUUCCUGAUUGAACUUGGUUACAGCCUCGCCUCCACCUUCAGCGAGAAUUGCCUUUUCUAUCACGGCUGUAAACGUCUUCAGCUGGAACAAGGAAACCCUACUAAACAACCAAGGCUUCAGUCCCUGUUCAAAUCCCUUUGCCUUAUGUUCAUCUGUGCUGACUUGGUAUGGCGCAAACCUCGCCAACUCGUUGAAUUUCGUGGCAUACUCCGACACCGUCAUCAUUCCCUAUUUCAAUUCUAAAAACUGUACAUCUAACUGGCUUUUCGAACUCUCUGGGAAAUAGGUCUCGAAGAAAAUCUCCUUAAACCUUUCCCAAGUCAUAAUUCCUGGUCCUUCCAGAGUUUUAUUGGCCUGCCACCAAUAACCAGCCUCUUCUUUCAACAUGAAUGUUGCAAAAGCAGUCUUCUGGUUAUCCUCUACCCUAGCAACAUCAAAAACCUUCUCAAUUUCCAUGAUCCAGGUUUGUGCUUCAACUGGAUUCAUGGAUCCACAGAAUUCUGGUGGUCUAACUGCCUUAAAGUCCUUAAACGUAGCACCUUGGUUUUGAGGUUGAUUUUGCGGUUGAUUCUGUAGUGUACCUGUCAACAACGUCACCAGCUGCUGAACAGGGUUAGCUUCAGCAUUAUCGUUGUUGGUUCCUUCGGUGGUUCUCUGACGGGGUGGUUGACGUCUUGGAGGCAUUUUCUGCUAAAAAUACACUCAUUAGAUUAUUACUCAACUUUUUCAAGUAAUUUCUAAUUAACUUGCCCCCAAAAAAGUAAUCACCACAUAACACAUAACACUUUGGAUAAAAGAAGAUAAUAACUUUUAUUCAUUCUUAAUUCUUUGAAAACAUCAUAACAAUAGCAUCACUGCUAUUUACAUUAUUUUCCUGAACUACUAAAGUUUCAGGACAUCAUCAUCAUAUCCACAAGUUACAUAACACUUGGGAUUUACAUAAUACUUAUCAUAACAUAAAUCAUAAAUCAAGUACACUUCCUACGAUGUCCUAUUAAGAUACUGUAAAGCCUUACGACGCUCUUCUUCCAUAAUUCGAAACAUGGUUCAAUGAUCUAGUAUGUACAAGGGUAGCGUCUCAAACUGAAUUGGGUAACCCAUGACCCGAUCCUGAGCUUGAUUGAUCGCGAUGUUGAAUACGUUAUCCAUUUCCUGCAUCUUCAUUCUCUUUGCUUGUGCGUAUCCCUCUAUUAUUUUGGCCCGUUGAUCAGCUUCCUCAUACGCGUCUUCGGCUCUUGCCCUUUUUGCAGACUCUUCUCUCAACUUGCUCUUUAACUCUGCAAUCUCUGCUCUCAUUUAGUCGUUCUCUUCUUCAGUGUGAACCAGUUUCUCUUUAACAUUGUUCAGUCAUUCUUCUCGAUCCUGGAUCUCGUCGUCCUUCUAUGCCAUUGAGGUUUGUUGUUCAGCUACUAUCUCAUGCAAUUCCUCAAUAGUAUCUUAAAGUUCCACGUUACGGUCAUGCACAUCAUCGUAUAUACAGCCAGCUAUUGAGUUAAAUGGAAUCCUUUCCUCCUCGUCCUCUUCAUCCGUCUGUGGCAGCUCCAAGGGAUCUUCCUCAUCCAUCUCUAUCUCAUCAUCCUCAUCAGGUACUCUCUCCUGCUCAACUACUGUGACCAACGGAACUGUUUCCCGUGGCCAUAAUUGUUCCCAAACUACAUGAAUAUCUCGUGGCUAUUAUUCCCUAAUUUGACUGGAUCCUCCUAUAUUAGACAUCCUGUCAACCAAAGUUUAAGUUUUAAUUACUAAUCAUUACUACUCGACACUCAUGAGCACAUAAGUUGUAAACACAUAAGCAAAUAAGUGUUUUAUUACUUCUUUCUUAAAACUCGAUAAGAGUUCAUCAUCACUAUCUUUUUUAAAGUUACUUCCUAAGGCUUUUCCCCCACCUAAGGUUCAUAACCUAAGGCUUUGAUACUAACUUGUGACACCCCCAAACCCAGGUACUUCAUUUCCACAGGAUUUGGUGUUCACUUAAUCAAACAUUCAUAUCUAACUACCAAAUCACAAUAAAACUGGAUAAUUAAACCUUCCCCCUUAAAGGGUUACAUAAAAAAAAUCUCCUAGGUUGUCUAACCUUUAAACACAAUCAUUCAAAUGCGGAAAAUAAAUAAUCUUUAUUACAACCAUUCCAUUAAAAACUGAUAAUAAAAUAUCAUCAAAUUACAAGUCUUCAAAACUUGUUCAUCUUUCCUUUUCCCUUACUGGUGCUAGGUACAUCAACCUUCUCAUCCUUAACUAUAAUAAUUAUAUAAGCAAGAGUGAGCAAACAAAGCUCACUUGAUACAAUAAUCAAUGAAAAACCUUUACAACAAAUGUAAAAUAAGAGACUCAAUAGAUUUAAACAAUUACGAUUUGUCAACAAUCUGAAGUAAAUAACUGAGGGUCCUAAGACCACGAACUAUGUCCAUAGUGAUAAGUAAUGUUUCAACUUAAACUUUAACAGUCAUAAGACUAUAGGGACUCCUCGUACUUAGGGGGAUCAACCCUUUGUACAAUGUAUUGUGCACAAACAUUUCAACGCUAAGCGUAAGUUACCCCCAAUAAUAGGGUUGUUCAUCUCAGUACUUAGAGUACAAGUCCGCACCAAAAUGAGUUUGGUUUGGAUACAUUUUAGGGUAAUUUAGAAUUCAACGAACAUCAACUAAGGAUUAGUUGAAUAAAACCAAUAACAUCGUACUAUAGAAUAAUCGUAAUUGAAUCAACAUGGUAAACCAAAAUCAUGCUUUAGGAAUAAUCUAAUAGCAUAUACUUUGAAUAACUAUAACAUGCCUUGCUUGAACAAUAUUAAGUCAAGGUUAAUUAGAAUUGAGUACUAAGCAUGCAUAGUAGUUUGAACGAUAAAAUUGUUCGACAUUAGUAUAAAUAGUUGUUCAUGCUAAACAACAAGUUAAAUACAAGAAUAACUUGUCAACAUCAAACCAAAGUUUAGAAAGCUUGCAUCAUUUAUAAGGUAAUCGAAUUGAAACAAUAAAUAGUUCAACAAGAUAAAGAAUUAGAAAACUUGCAUUGCUCGUAGGCUAAACCGAAUCAAUUCGGAUCACAAUACCUUAUAUGUACAUAUGUACAUAUAUAUAUAUAUAUGUCAUCAUGACAUAGUUAGUCACUACUACUUUACAAAUUUAACUAACUAUAUACAUAAUAUAGGUUUGAUUAUUUAAUCAUAUAAUCAAGUUAUAACACAAGUUAAUUGUUAAUAACAUACUUAUUCUUAGUAUAGAAAUACUAAUAUCAACAUUUUACAGUCCUACUAUCAUCACAUAACAAUUUCUUAACAUUUGAGUACAAAAAAAAUACACUGUCAGACCAUUCUGCUAACUCGCGCUGCGGCGCCACAGUUUAUACUGUGGUGCGGCGCUGCGGCGCAAGAAUAACGCUACAAGGCCGCGCUGUGGCGCGAAAGAUGAACUGAUGGGCCGCGCUGCGGCGCCAAACUGUAGUUUCGACUGACAGCUUCGGCAACAGUAUAAGAAAAAGCCAAUUUUGGCCUAAAAGUUCCUUUCUAACAGCCUAAUUCACAUGAAAUUCAUACAAAGACUUCAUGUAAACAUAAUUCAAAGAUUGUAAAUAUGUUUCUACUCAUAAAACAAUAUAAACAACAAAUUUAACACAUACAAUUUCACUAUUUUUGAUAAAAACUCACUUUUUGAUGUUUUUGACGAAAAUAAACACUGUGAUUUUGUUUUUCAACCAAAACAGUUAAUUCAAAGCAUUUUAUCAAUGUUUAUACAUACUCUAUCAAACUCAACAGUCAAUUUAUCAAUUAAACAACUAAUUACCCUUAAUUUUUACUUUAAACUAAACAAUAUAUAUAUACACAAACUCUCUGUAAAAAUAGCUUUUCUUCACAACCAUAUACAUAAUACAAAUUCAUGGACUAUUCUCCAUUAUAGCUUAAGAAAAUAGUUUAACAACACUAGAUUAUCAUAUAAAAUCACAUACAUAACAAAUAAUUUAUCCUUACACAAGGAUUUUACAUAGAAUUAGGGAAGAGAAAAAAGUAAACCUUUAAAACUAAAAAGAAUAAGAUAAUACCUUGAAGAAGAUGAUGAUGGCUAUUCCCUUUUUUUUUUUUAUUCUCAAGCUUUUCUUCUCACCAAUUCCCUAGCAUUUCUUCCUCUCUUCUUUUCUCUCUCACUUUUCUUCUCUUCUUCUUCUUCUUCUUCUUCUUCUUCUUCUUCUUCUUCUUCUUCCUCUGAGUUUUCUCUUUUCUUCCUAACUCUAACUACGUACUAACAAUGUAAUGUAUAUAGGAUAUAAUUUAUAUUAAUUAUAUAAUAUAAAUACAGAUAUAACUGAUAUCCGUUAUCUAAGUUUUGAAAACCAAAAGCCAUAAGGCUUGUUUGGCUAGUCACUAAAAAAAUAACCAAUUAAUCCUUAUGCCUUGUUUGGUAAAACACAAUUAGAAUAAAGACUUAAUAGGCAUUAGGCAUUGUUUGGCAAAACUAAAUUAAAACUCCUUUAACUUAUUUUAAUAACUACUUUAUAAAAGGUUAUUUGUCACACUUUUAAUAAAUUAAAUUAAUCUUAAUAACAAUAUAUUAAAUUUCUUUAACACAUAAAUCAAUACCACAAAAUUAUAAUUUUCUAUAUAUUAUAACUUUAUUUAACCAACUAACACAUCCUUUUAAUUACAAAAUUCAAAUAAAAAGAAUAAUAAUUCAAUUAAUCAAAACUCUCUAACUUAAUAAUUAAAUUAAAUUAGCAAAUAUAAUAAUUUUCUUAAUUAUUUAUUUAACAGAUAGUUAACCAAAUUGAAUCAAAUUUGAACAAUUACAAAUUCAACCAUAAACACAUCCAUUAAAUACUUAAAUAAUUCAAUAAAUAUUUAAUAUAACUAUUAAAAUUCUGGAAUGUUACAAUUAUGACCAGGGAUUAUUCGGUAUAAUCAUGACCAUUAAUGAUUACAUAAAUAUCCUUGGCCCGUAAUGCAGGGAUGAUUCGAUGAUGUGGUUUAUUUAUUAAGCUGAGUAUCAGCGAUAAAGUUGAUGAAAAACUUUUUAAAUCAUAGAAGAUAGUAGAUUUUAUGCUCUACUUGACUCUUCUAAUGGAUUGCUUAUUCCGCUGCAGUUGUUGAUCUAAAACUUGUUGUCUAUGGUAUUCUAUCAGUUGUUAUACUGUUGAAGGCUAAGGAUAAUUUAUUCUGCAUUAUCUUAGUCAUAAUAUUUCUUACUGGGCUAGUUGAGCUCACUCUUUUCUUUCAUUGUUCUCUUCANNNNNNNNNNNNNNNNNNNNNNNNNNNNNNNNNNNNNNNNNNNNNNNNNNNNNNNNNNNNNNNNNNNNNNNNNNNNNNNNNNNNNNNNNNNNNNNNNNNNUUUUGUCGUAUUUUACACGACUGUUGUAUAAUUAAGUUGUAUUUGAAUAUAUGUACCAUGUAUCUGGCGACCCAAGAUGGGUGAUGUAUACCUGUUUUGGGGGAGUCACAGCGUCGUCUCAACAUACAUUCUAAACAAUAAUGUCCCACAAGAACUAAGGAGUUGCAAUCCCGAGUGAUUACCACGCAAGGCAGAACACCGGAUAGAAUUUGAAGCUUGAAGACAUAGGACAUGGUUCCAUCUUCCUGACUUCGUACAACCUCUAAACCCAUGUCAUUGCGUAGCUCUCGACAACGGCAGUCCUAAACAUGUCUUAUAUACCUCAAUCGGAUGCUCGGAUUAAAGUUCUGUAAGUUCGAACGGAUAUCAUGUUGCACGCGUGCACGUACUUCGAGACAGUGAGACCCGCAGAGCCCGGGGCACCCCGGGCAGCAGCAGGUGCAUCUGCGGCUGCCGCAGGUACACCUGCGGCUGCCCCCUCUAUAAAUAGAGUGCUUGGGGUGGCCAUAUUUCAAGAAAAGAUGGCGAGGAAGCCCUGUCCAAUUUGCUCUGUAUACACCCUAUAUUGAGUGUUUUCUCAUUUUAAACACUUGUGAGCUCACAUAUAGCUAUUUUUUACCAGCGAGAGCCGAGUGUUCAUCCACUUAAAGCUAUAGAAGUCUUCUUUGGCAGUCCACUAUAAGCCUUCUUACACACUAUAAAGCCUUUCUCUUCAUCUUUGCGCACACUCUUCUUCACGUUGAGAGUCAUGUUAUGUGUGUAUGCCCGGACUUCGGUCUGUGGUUUUCAUUUCUAUUUGUAUAUAUAUACUUAUAUAUGUAUAUAUUUAUACAUAUGUUUGGAGCGUUUACUUGCUUAUAUAUAUAUAUAUAUAUAUAUAUAUAUAUAUAUAUAUAUAUAUAUACAUUUCUGUCAGGCCUGGAGUUUACUUUGUGUCAUUUCACUCCUUUAUUUACAUUUCGUCCUACCCGGAGUUUACUUCGUGGCGGUUGAUCAUUUUUACUAUUUUAUUUACAUUUAGUCCCGCCUGGAGUUUACUUCGUGGCGGUUUAUCGUAUUUAUUGCUUUAUUUACAUUUCUAAUCCCCCAUGGAGGUGCUUCGUAGUGGUUGAUCAUGUCUCUCUAUAUAUAUUUACCGCUUUUAUAUAUUUACAUUUUUGAUCCCCCAUGGAGGUGCUUCGUGGUGGUUGAUCAUGUAUGUAUAUAUAUAUUUACAGCUUUUAUAUAUAUAACUGCUUACUGCUUUCAUAUAAAUUGCGGCAUCAUGUGAGCCUAGGAAUCAUGGAUCACAGAUUAGGUCUACUAAAUCUAGAUUCGGUUCCCGUGAUGGACAUUUUCAGUUGUACGCAGCUUGUAAAUUAUUCAUGAUGUUUGAAUUUCCUUAGAUGGAUUUAAUGCCCAUGAGGAGUUCGGCACUGCUAUAUAUUAUUUUCUCGAAGAUGUUUCGCAUCUCAAAAAUAAAAGCAACCAAGCCGAACAUUUAAUAAUAAAAUAGAAGUAUCAAAGACCUCAAUUACUAUUGAGCACGGGGUUUGAAAAAACCUCUUUUACAAAAUCUCAUUGCUAUAUCUUGUUUAAAACUAAAUUUUUCAUACAAAUUCAAACCCUGUGUAUAUAGGUGCGAAUGAGGCAUAGCACUACUUCAAAAUAAAUUUCACAUUGAUCCACACACACACAUACACAUUAAUAGAAUAGUUUCUUGAAAAGUGGCGGUCACCGUGGUAACACGGAUGUCGGGGGGUGCCUAACACCUUCCCUCCGCAUAAUCAAGCCCCCGAACCCAAAUGAAUCUCGGUUUCACAGACCCGUUUAGCAGUUUCACAUCACUGGGUCAAUGUGCAAACUUUUUCUCGGUUACGUUGGUGCAACCAGUUAAAAACACCAACUGGCAACUCUUACAGUCAAAUCAUCGACAUAUACAUAUCGGACCUUUUUCACUUGUUUUUUCAAACAAAUCUCACCUAACAUGAGAACACCAAAGAACAAGAACAGAAAAGGGACAAAUAAAAAAUCCCGACGUCGACAGCAACUAUGGUUGAAAAGUUUUAUCAUUUACCAUAUGUUCUAAAUCUCUGUUUUAUUACUGACGAAGGCUAUUGAUAAUUUAAUUAUCUUUAGUCAUGAUAUUCUUUAUUGAGCUAGUUGUGCUCACCCUUUUGCUUCACAAUUCCUUUCAGGUAAUAAGAGUGUAGCUAGGUCGAGCGGGGGUAACAGGGGAAUAGAACGGUGGUCUAUAGCUGUUGAGGUUUCCCCUAAAAAGUAUGGAAAUAAUUUUAUUGAGAAUUUUAGAUAAAUGUGUCGUAUUGUAUACGUCAUUUAACCGUUGAUUUUGGUGAACCGAAUAGGGUGAGGUGAACUAACUUUGGAAGGGUGUUUUGUCAAUAUCAUACAAGAUGUCUAAUGACCUACGACUUCAUGUUAUCAUAAGACAGGGUUGUGCACAUCCACUUGCUGAUUAUAUCUAUGAGCACUAGCUAUAUAAUCUUAGAGUUUUGUUGAAAUAUAAUUCUCAACUGGAGAUAAUGGAGAUAAUUAUAUGUCAAGAGAAGACUCACCAUUGGAAAGAACAUGAUAGCAAUCUUCUCAUUUUUCUUUGGGGUCUAUUCGGUCAACUAAGGAUAAUUCUCGAGUCAUAUGAUAUAUAUUAUAACUUAGAUGCAUGGCCUCCCAUGUACGAAGGUUUCCUUGAGCAUUUUCUAGAGAUUUUAAUUUCUAAAACAGUUAUUGACUAUACCUUUAUGUAAGGUAUCAAUGUGAGGUGUUAUCUAAGUAAAGGGAUGAGAGUCACAGUUGGUAUUAAAACUCACAAUAUAUGUAUUGUCGUAUUUUGCACGACAAUUGUAAUAAAAAGUUAUAGUUUUUUUUUGUACCAUGUAUUUGGCAACCCAGAAUGGGUUGGGUGGAUUGGACCUAUUUUAGGGGGCGUCACAAUUUCUUUAUCUCAAAUGAUAUUCUUCAUUGUGGCUAAAAAAAUUCUUACCUUUUGGAAAAAUUAAUCCAUUUUUUCUAAGCAAUGCAUCUUUAAGUACUCUACCAUCUGUAGCCAACCCUUCCCAACCAGGCAACACAUAUAAAAAUUACAUCUUUGGUGAACAAACUCCUAAAACAUUUGUUGUAAUUUCACUUUUUCUGUUUCUGUACCUAGGCUUGUCCUCUAUGGGUAAGUUCAUUCUUAUGUGAGUCCCAUCCAAAGCCCCUAAACAAUUCUAUAAUAACAUAGACAUGGAUUACAAGAUAUACUUAAACAUAGGAGGUUGUGUUAAAAAUGUAUGUGUGUAUGUGUGCAAAUUGUACCUUGAAAUACUUCUACUUUUCAUCAGUUGAGUCAUCAGCAAUUGGUUUGAGAUUCUUAAAAAAUUCUCCUUGCAAUCUUAAAUCUUCAUUAACUACCUUAUGAAAAUGCCUACUUAUCGACUCCCCAGACCUUUCAAAGUUAAAUUUGAUAACACGAUUUUUUGAAUGGUGUCCCAGUAUAUACAAGAAUAUUACAACUUGUUCAAUUACAUCUAUGUAUUUAGUUGAACGUAAGUAACUUUUCGUCUUGAACAUAUGAAACUCAAUUUAGAAAGGUACUCAUAUUCAUCCUAAGUUGUUCAAUACAAUUAUUAUCACCUCCAUUGAUUAACUUAUCAAUGUAACGUGUCCUCCACAACUUAUAAAUAGAAUAUUGUUACUUGAAAGCUUUCCACCUAAUCAAACCCAUAAUUUGAAGAAAAAAAAACAAUUCACCAAUGUAAUCAUAUACAACCACGUUGUAAAUAGUAUAACAAUUCUCUUCUUCAUGAUAUUCUUCCUUGUAGCUAAAUUAAAUCGAGUCAUUAUUGCAUUUAGAGAGUCAAAAUAACUAAUUAUAACAUAAGCCAACUUCCAAACAUUAGUUUAUUAUAAAGUCACAUAAAAAGAAACACAAACAUAAAAGCAUGAGACGACAAGAAAUUCCCUAAAUACACACUUUCCCAGUGUAAAAAGUGUAUAAAUGGCAAGCAUCUAUAUGUUUAGCGUUCCUUUUAUUUCCUCUUAUGUCUGCCUAUUUAAAAAGUGUAUUAAUGUAUCUUUUGCAAGUUAGAAGUUGAAGUUCACCUUGUGUGGAGAGAGUAACAAAUGUACAAAAUCACAACGAACAAUACCCUCUCAAACAAGAAAACUUCAAAAGCAUAAAAUUCAUGUGCGUUAGCAGCUAAUAGAAGUAUAAGUUACUCAUCUAUUGAAACUUAUCUCCUUAAACAAAAUCUUACCUAAUCCUAGUGUUAAACCUAAAAAACAUGAAGCAGUGAGAUCAGUUAUCACAUUGAACUCAUCAUUCCAGUACCCCAAAAAAACUAAUUUCAUUUAUUCAUGGUCCAAAAACCAAUUUCAAGAUAGGAUUAAUCCAUUGAAUAAGUCACAUGGGGCGGUGUUUGUACUAUGCGCAUGAAAGUAGGAAUCAACACCAGUGUUGUCACUUGAAUGACUUUCAAGCCCAAUCCUUAUAUAAUGCAUACGUGCAACAUUACAAGUGGUUCUGGUUCAAUCAUCAAGUGUCACUACUCCAACAACUAAGACUUUCAAGCAAACAAAAAUAAUGAUCCCCAUAUCCCCCAUCCCCAAUCCAAAUUUACACAACUAAUAAAAUUCAGGAGUUUGUUGUACCAAGUAACUUACUACAAGAGCUUAUUUCAUAUUAAUCGAGCUUAUUUCAUAUUAAUUGAGCUUAUAAUCUGUCUAUAUCGUUCAGUACAUGUAAAUCACUAAAAUGUAAAUAGGGGUUUGCUCUAUAAUUCACUAAUUAUUGAAAACUAAAAAGUGAUUGUGAGGCUUUUGUUUGUUCCCUAUUCUAAUCUUCAUAAGGUCAAUACAUCAAACAUAUGGUGCACAUAUAUCCAAAAUCAAAAUUGAUUGAGCACCAAAUUCACUACAUAUAACCAAAAUCAGACUUGAUUAAGCACAAAUGAAUGAACAAAAUGAAGAAUUAAUUACAAAUAAAUAAACUGAUAUUAGAUGUCUUACCGAAUUAAAAGAGAACAGGAGAAGAGUAGAAGAAUAAAAAUUACCCUAAAAAAAGAAAAUCAAUUUGAGAGGAUAGAUGUAGGAGAUAUAGGAGAGAACAGAGAGGACAAAAUAGAGAAAGGAGAGAGAAGAGGGACAUGUACCUGUGAUGGAGGACAUGAGAGUCGAGCGAAGCUAUUCGGCGAUGGGAUCGAUCGAUCGACAUCGAAGAAGAUAAAGUCUAGUGAAAACACGAAUAAAGCUCGAUUGGAAUGAAAUAAACCCACAUAUUUAGAAAGUAAUGAAAAAUAACAUUUCAAAGUGACUAAC
rnacentral:lncRNA from 1 species